AGCCCUAUCAAAGUAAGUAAAGCCUCACCCUAAAACUAACCGAAAAUUGCACUUGUGACGUUUGAAAACCUUCAAAUUGAUCAUCUCGGCCUUGAACAUUAUAGUUGUGAAAAAAAUUUCGGAUUUCAAGCUCUAAAAAUAGUGUAUAUUACACAUUAUUUAGAUCGUCCAUUUCACCCUAAAAAUAAGUAUUCAUGGAUCCGUAAGAUCUAUAUUUUUUUAAGCUUCAAAUUUCAUAGUCGGUGUUGGAAAUUGAUUUUAGAGCCAUCAUGGAGAUUUUCGAUGCCCAAAAUGCUCUCUGAAUGAGGAUUCGAGAUGAGGCUUUACUUUGAUUUCUUAGAGGCCCGGGCCUUAUAAAAUCGAAAGUGCAAUCCGAAUGAGGAUUCGAGAUAAGGCUUUAUUUUGAUUUCAUAGAGGCCCAGGCCUUAUAAAACAUAAAGUAGAGAUUCACCUCAAAGCCUUAUCUGAAAAACACUUCAGGCAUAAGAAAUCUUUUUGAUGGCUUUAAAAUCUAUUUCCAUCAUCGAUUAUAAAAUUUGUAGCUCAAAAAAUGGUACAGAUCUUGCAAAUUUGUGAAAAUUUAGAAAUAGAUGGUCUAGAUGAUGUGUUACAAGAUACAUUAUUUUUAGGACUUGAAAUUUUAUUUUUUUUAACAACUGUAAUAGUGAAGGUCAUGAUGAUUUAUUUGAAGUUUUUUUGACACUGAAAGUAGAAUUUUUUUUGUAAGUUUUGAGGCGAAGCAUUAGUUUUUCUCAUAAGGCU
rnacentral:pre_miRNA from 1 species